AGGGUGGUUGCCUGGGUGAGCAGUAUAAGCAAUUGAGAACUCCUUGGCUGAGGAGUGGGAUAAAAAUGUAAUGACUAAUUAUCCCAAACAGAUUACUUCUAUGGUGUUUUUAUUUGAACCUGCCUUGGGCUGCUUCCACACUCAAGUCCUUUCAACUGCUGAGGCACUGUUGUUCUGCAAUUAGCUGUGACUGGGAUUAAAAACAGAGGUACCACAGAUCGCUUAAUAUAAUAGCUCUAUGUUACCCGGCAACGCUAUGAUCUUCUGUAAUACGUGCCAGAGGCACCAACUUGUGCCGAAGAUGGAGAGGGCCAGAUGAUGCCACAAUGCUCAGUGUUGUUUGUGAUGUCACACAUGUGAUGCACGGUGUCGUGUGUGAUGUCACACCCGUGGCAUAUGACAUCAUGGGAUGUUGGGGGAGGAACCAGGGGGCGGAGAUAGCUGACAGCUAUUCCUCUCUUGCACUCGAAAGCUUUCCAUGACAGGAGAAGCAAAAACCAACCACACUUGGCUCUUCAACUGGGGUUUUUUUGGUAUGUUUUUAGUUGUUUCUGUUUCAGUCCUGUCAGGGAAAAGACGAGUUACUGAUACUAAUACUAAUACUAAUGCUAAUACUAAUACUAAUACUAAUACUAAUGUUGUUGUUUAGUCGUUUAGUCGUGUCCAACUCUUCAUGACCCCAUGGACCAGUGCACGCCAGGCACUCCUGUCUUCCACUGCCUACCGCAGUUUGGUCAAAUUCAUGUUCGUAGCUUUGAGAACACUGUCCAACCAUCUCGUCCUCUGUCGUCCCCUUCUCCUUGUGCCCUCCAUCUUUCCCAACAUCAGGGUCUUUUCCAGGGAGUCUUCUCUUCUCAUGAGGUGGCCAAAGUAUUGGAGCCUCAGCUUCAGGAUCUGUCCUUCCAGUGAGCACUCAGGGCUGAUUUCCUUCAGAAUGGAUAGGUUGGAUCUUCUUGCAGUCCAUGGGACUCUCAAAAGUCUCCUCCAGCACCAUAAUUCAAAAGCAUCAAUUCUUCAGCGAGCAGCCUUCUUUAUGGUCCAGCUUUCACUUCCAUACAUCACUACUGGGAAACUAAUACUAAUACUAAUUUAUCACAAGUGUCUACUUGUUAGGGCUUUAUUCCUGUUUCAAAUGUCUAUUGUUUUUGCAUUUUUAACUGUUUUUAUGUGCAAAUUGCCUUUGAAAUGGUGGUUUAGAAGAUGAUUAAAAAAGCAAUUGUAACAACAACAACACUAAAUUGCCCCAAUUUUUGUUCUCAGACAGGUCGGGAAGCCUUUAAUUACUGGUUUUCUUGCAUUACCUUUUUCUUUUCAUUUUCCCCCAACAAAGACCACUAUUUCACUAUUGAAAGAAAAAAAUAUGGGGGGGGCAGGGGAAUAAUAAGAGGAAACCAGAAAUUAAGGCUGCUAACUACCCCUGGAAUAGAAAGCAACUCUGGAACACAAUUAGCAGGUUAUUCAUCCCAAAUUACCUAGCUGUGGUCGACAGUCAAGAACUGCAGACAAAAUAUUUUAAAUUAAAGGCAAUACUUGAGUAACGCUUUUGUUUGCCUGCCGAAUAGGCUGGUACAAGCAGUUAGGUAUUACUGCAAUUAUUUGGACAUAGAAAUAAGGAACGUGGAAAUAGAUAUUGACAAGUUGACAACAGCAACUGUUCUCUCACUAAAAAGAGAAUGAGCAAAGGAUGGGGGAAGCUGUGGACUUUUGCUCUUGCUUGGCUUGGGAAAGGUACUUCUGGGCUUCUUUAAAGGAUGCCUCAGAAAACAACCCUGUUCCUACCUUUCUCCUGCUCAGAUCCCAGCUCCACUGCUCACCCAGCCAUUGAAAAACCAUCAAAACCCUUCAAAUCACUUAAGAAAAAGAAGGUACUUUUUAUCAUAUGCGGUGGACGUGUCCUAAGGUGAAAGACUUCUGGGAAAAGAUUUAUAAUGAGUUGAAAAAAAUGUUGAAAAAUACAUUUAUUAAGAAAGCAGAAGCCUUUCUACUUGGAAUACUAGGACUGGAAUUGCCCAAAAAAGAUGUUAGACUGUUUUUGUAUGCCACUACAGCAAGGGAUGUGGGUGGCGCUGUGGGUUAAACCACAGAGCCUAGGACUUGCCGAUCAGAAGGUCGGCGGUUCGAAUCCCCGCGACGGGGUGAGCUCCUGUUGCUCGGUCCCUGCUCCUGCCAACCUAGCAGUUUGAAAGCACGUCAAAGUGCAAGUAGAUAAAUAGGUACCACUCUGGCGGGAAGGUAAACGGCGUUUCCGUGUGCUGCUCUGGUUCACCAGAAGCGGCUUAGUCCUGCUGGCCACAUGAUCCGGAAGCUGUACGCCGGCUCCCUCGGCCAAUAAAGUGAGAUGAGUGCCGCAAACCCAGAGUUGGUCACGACUGGACCUAAUGAUCAGGGGUCCCUUUACCUUUUUACAGCAGCAAGACUUUUAUUAGCCAAAAACUGGAAAUCGCAAGAAAUACCAACAAUAGAAGAAUGGCAGAUGAAGAUGUUGGACUUUUUGGAGCUGGGUGACCUGACUGGAAGAAUCCAUGACCAGAAAGAAGAGGAGAUACAAGAGGAUAGGAAGAAAUUUAAAGAAUAUUUAGCUAAAUAUUGUGAUAUAAGAUAAAUAGAAAAUUCUUGGAAAUAAUAAAUAGGCUUAGGGGGUAGAAUAAGAAAAUGUGGUAGUAAAUAUUAAGGAUUAAAAUAUUAAUAAAGGAGAAGAGGUUAGUAAAUGAAAGGAGUUCAUAUUAUUAGAAAUAUGAAUUUGGAGAACUGUUAUACAGGUGACAUAAUGAAAUUCAGUUAGAGCGGAUUCGAGGAAGUCAGUUAUCAAUGUAAUGAGAAUUAGGUAUUUGAAGAAACAAUUUUUCUUUGUGCUUAGUUUAUUGCAGUGUAAUGUGUUUUUCUUUGCUGUGUAUUUUGUUAUGUCAUUUUUGUGAUAGAUGUGGAAAAUCAAUAAAAAAUUGGGGGGGGG
rnacentral:lncRNA from 1 species